rnacentral:rRNA from 1 species
AGUGAACGCUGGCGGUAGGCCUAACACAUGCAAGUCGAACGGCAGCACAGUAAGAGCUUGCUCUUACGGGUGGCGAGUGGCGGACGGGUGAGGAAUACAUCGGAAUCUACUUUUUCGUGGGGGAUAACGUAGGGAAACUUACGCUAAUACCGCAUACGACCUACGGGUGAAAGCAGGGGAUCUUCGGACCUUGCGCGAUUGAAUGAGCCGAUGUCGGAGUAGCUAGUUGGCGGGGUAAAGGCCCACCAAGGCGACGAUCCGUAGCUGGUGUGAGAGGAUGAUCGGCCACACUGGAAGGGAGACACGGUCCAGACGCCUACGGGAGGCAGCAGUGGGGAAUAUGGGACAGUGGGCGCAAGCCUGAUCCAGCCAUACCGCGUGGGUGAAGAAGGCCUUCGGGUUGUAAAGCCCUUUUGUUGGUAAAGAAAAGCAGCAGGUUAAUACCCCGCGGUUCUGACGGUACCCAAAGAAUAAGCACCGGCUAACUUCGUG